rnacentral:rRNA from 1 species
AUUGAACGCUGGCGGCAGGCCUAACACAUGCAAGUCGAGCGGCAGCGGGACCUUCGGGUCGCCGGCGAGCGGCGGACGGGUGAGUAAUGCCUAGGAAUCUGCCUGUUAGUGGGGGAUAACGCGGGGAAACUCGCGCUAAUACCGCAUACGUCCUACGGGAGAAAGUGGGGGACCCUCGGGCCUCACGCUAACAGAUGAGCCUAGGUCGGAUUAGCUAGUUGGUGGGGUAAAGGCCCACCAAGGCGACGAUCCGUAACUGGUCUGAGAGGAUGAUCAGUCACACUGGAACUGAGACACGGUCCAGACUCCUACGGGAGGCAGUAGUGGGGAAUAUUGGACAAUGGGCGAAAGCCUGAUCCAGCCAUGCCGCGUGUGUGAAGAAGGUCUUCGGAUUGUAAAGCACUUUAAGUUGGGAGGAAGGGCGCUCGGUGAAUACCCAAGCGUCUUGACGUUACCGACAGAAUAAGCACCGGCUAACUUCGUGCCAGCCGCCGCGGUAACAC